UUUCCGUAGGUGAACCUGCGGAAGGAUCAUUAUUGUAUAACCGAGGUGCGAGGGCUGUCGCUGACCCGAAAGGUCGUGCACGCCCGAGUGCCCUCACACACAUCCCUCUCACCCCGAUGUGCACCACCGCGUGGGUCCCCCUUUGGCUUGUUCGGAGGGGGGCUUACGUUUUCACACAAACUUUGUAUGCAGUGUAGAAUGUAUUUUUUGUUUUUGCGAUCACGCAAUCAAUACAACUUUCAACAACGGAUCUCUUGGCUCUC
rnacentral:misc_RNA from 1 species